AGCCAUCAACACUGCUGUCCUCCUGGACUCCACGCUGUCAGCUGUCAUCCAGAACACUCAGAAUUCAGCGUUAAAGAGGAAACUCACGAGUAUCAGAACAAAAGAACAGUUCUGACCAUAGCCAGUAUUGAGGGGGGGGGGGGGAACAGAACAAGAAGCAGAGAAUCUUUGAGAGAGAAAGCAGAAGGAAAGACUGCCUACUGCCUAAGAAGGUGGCAUGGAUCCUCCACUCUAAGAGCAAGAGACUAAAGCAGCCAGUCACCUCUACUGGUCUCCAUGGAAAAGAUGAGCCUAGGACAGAAGGAGUUCUGAGGCUCACUGGUGACUCCAAACAUCCAUCCCUGGGUGGAUCCAGCAUCUACAAACAGCGUUACUUGGGCACAGUCCACAGAAAAAGAGAAGGGAGAAAGGCCGACACACCUCUGGCCACAGCACUAACAACUGUGGCGAAUCCGGAGCUUUCCGCAGGGCAGAGGAGAGAGAGCUGCGGCAGACAGCAGCUUUGGGGCUAGGACUUUGCCUUUUCCAGCGGCCGGCACAGACUCGGUUGCCCCUUGGAUUCUUCGCAAGAAAUCUGUGUUUUAAUCCUCGCCCCGAAUGAAGUCUCACCAAGAGCUUGCCGGCUCUAGAACGAGGGUUGUUUUGCAGGCAAGUUCCUGGGCUUCGCUCCAAAGCUGCCUCGGGAUGUUUUGGUUGGUUUAGAGGAAAGCUGCGGCCUCUCCUACCCAGUUCUUAACCAGACAGCCCCCUGGCGGCAGCGAGGAAAAGCCUGGCUGGGCCCAGGUUUCAUGUGGGGGGGGAGGGGGCAAGCCUUGCGAUCAGCUCUGUAAUAAGGGUAGCACCGGGGAAUUCAAGAGGCCCUGAGAAGCCUGGAGUCCCAGGACGUCUUACUUCUUUUCCUACACAUGUCUCUGAGCCAUGUUUUUGCUUAAAUUCUCUCUCAAGAAAGACACACACUAAAAGUGAAAUCUAACAGCCGCAAAAGGUUACUUUUUUUUGUUUAGAUGGUUUUGUCUGAUUUCAUUUUGCCUGGAAAGUUCUGAAAUAAGAAUCAAAGUAUUUAAAGUCUCGCGACACGACAGUGUUACAGGACUGGCUGUAACCGUGUUAUGUAAUCAGAGCGCUCCAACAAGGAAAUCUGGUAGGAUUCCAUUGGAACGGGUAUUGAGAGCUGAACCAGGCAGGUGGUGGUAAGGGGUUGCCCUAAGAGUCUGUUACACAAUGCGGUGUCAUGGGAAUUCUCAGAGCCAUGGGAACUCUCAGGAAGGCAAAGAGAUAUUCUAACCUGGGAGCACAGGGUCCCCAGGUCCGGUCUAUGCUGACUUGUGAUGCACAGGUGCUAUUUCCAGAACCUAGGAUUACAGUUCACCUGCACCAGCCUCCUGACCAAUCUAUGGAUUUCAAGCUGAUUAUUCCAGUCAAGGAAGCAAGCCAUCUGUUUCUUUCGGGCAGAACUACUGGGCGAGAAAGAGGCUGAAACACACAGCCCAAAAGGAGUGGGCUUGGGUCACAGUGCACCCAGCCAUGCAUCUUCAUUUAAUAUGGCAAAAUGUGGUGUGUUGUGAACAGUUAUGCACUCUUCUUGAAUUUUAGAACAUUCUCUCUUAACUCCCGCCUUUGUGAACACUGCUUACAUUUUUAGAUCGAUGUGAAUGUCUUACUCACCUAACUAAGGGUUUUUUUUUUCCUGCCUACUGUGCCUAUGAAUCAGAAUCCAGUUGGAGAAAUAAAGCUCAAAUUAGAACUGAACAGAUAGAAAAGAUGGUGGUUAUGACGAGGAAUGACAUGGAGAAUUGGGCGUGGGGUAGGGCCAGCCCCAAAGAACUCAGAGGAAGUUCUGGAAGAUUUACCAAGUCAUGGACAGAUUUUCUGAGGGGGCGGAACGUUAAAUCAUUUCAUUAACCCAACAGCCUUGUCUGGAGCCUGCGGCUCUGCCUUGUGACUUAGCCCUGGAGAGUCUAAAUCUUUAUGUUCGCUAUAUGGACGCUGCAGGCCCACUGAAGCUGCUAAAAUUGUAAAGUUCACUCCUAGCCUUUCAGGACAGACCUCUUAGGGAAGGUGACCGUUUCAUCACUGAUGGGUGGCAGUGAGAAAGAUAAGGUCAUUUAGUGUCCCUGGGGCGCCAUUCCAGUGUCCCUUGUAGUUCCUGGGAAUCUGCAGGUGGCUUAACUCCAUGUGUAAAACGGCAUAGUGUUUGCCUGUCACCAACACUUACCCUCUUUGACCUGCAUCUCACCUCUAGAUUAAAUGCUGUGCAAAUAGGUAUUAUACUGUAUUAAAGGAUUAGCAUGCAGGAAAGCAGCUCUGCACAUGCUCAGUACACAGGAGGGUUUCUCCGGAGUACCUUCAGCCUGGGUUUGAUCGACUCCACAGAUAGGGACCUCAAAAGGGGGUGGCUGACUGUAAACUGCCAGGUCAGAUAAAGCAAGGAAGCAAAAGGAGCACAGGAGAGGAAGGGUCCAGUAAGACUGGCUUCGGAAGGCUGCUUCCGGAGCCGUUACCGGAAGUCAGAGCUGGACGCUUUCUUAUUGGCCAGUCCCAAAGGAAGUCAGGAGUUGUCAAGGUGGUACGAAAUUAAAAGCUGUGUCCUGCUUUCUGCAUUCUGUCUUCGGGACUGUCGUGGCAUUUUUUUUAAAUGUCUCUUUUAAAAAUUCUAAGUAAAGACAAA
rnacentral:lncRNA from 1 species